rnacentral:snRNA from 1 species
GUGUUCGCUUCCGCAGCACAUAUACUAAAAUUGGAAUGAUGCAGAAAAGAUUAGCAUGGCCCUUACACAAGGAUGACACAAAAAUUUAAAAAAAAAGAAAAAAACGUUU